AGUUUUGAGCUAAAUAUAUUAUAAUAUUAGUUAUUUAUAAAGGUGUUGUAAAACCUUAUUAAAAAUUAUAUUUAGGGGUGAUAGGCCUUUCAAAAACUAAGAUAUCUUGAAUCUAAUUAAAAGUAUGUAGUACAUUCGACACAACUAUUAAGUGAUUAGGCUUUAUAGAAUUAUUAACUUAUAAAGAUUUUAUUUACUAUGAUUUAAUAAUUAAGUAUGUAAAUAUAUUAAUAUAUAUAUAUUAUAAUUUAUAAAAAGUAAUUAGAUAAAUUAAAGUUCAUAAAUUUUGUAAUAAUGUUAAUAUUAGUAUUAAGUUUAUAUUUAUACGAUGAACUCGGCAAAAAUGCUUCUCAACUGUUUAUCAAAAACAUAACUAUGUGAAUUAAUACAUAGCGGUUUCUGCUCAA
rnacentral:rRNA from 1 species